UCCCUCAUUCCCAUACUUCAGUUUUCCUUACCUCUAGAGCCCCUGAGCAGUAGCUCAUAUGUUCUCCUUUUCCUUUUAGACAAUUCCUCCUCGCUUCAAGAAGAUGAAGAAGUAGAGAUGGAGGCCAUCAGCUGGCAGGCCAGCAGUCCAGCCAUGAAUGGGCACCCUGCCCCUCCAGUGACCUCUGCUCGUUUUCCCAGCUGGGUCACCUUUGAUGACAAUGAAGUCAGCUGCCCUUUACCACCAGUCACCUCUUCUCUGAAGCCAAAUACACCACCAAGUGCAUCUGUGAUCCCAGAUGUACCUUAUAAUUCAAUGGGAUCAUUUAAGAAGAGGGACCGUCCCAAGAGCACUUUGAUGAACUUCUCCAAAGUUCAGAAACUGGACAUUUCCUCUUUAAACCGCAUGCCUUCUGUAACUGAAGCUCCACCUUGGAGGGCAACCAACCCUUUCCUGAAUGAGACUCUGCAGGAUGUACAGCCCUCCCCUAUCAACCCUUUCAGUGCUUUCUUUGAGGAGCAGGAGAGGCGCUCCCAAAACAGUUCCAUUUCCAGUACCACUGGCAAAAGCCAAAGAGAUUCCCUCAUUGUCAUCUACCAGGAUGCCAUCAGUUUUGAUGAUUCAAGCAAAACCCAGUCACACUCUGAUGCUGUUGAAAAACUCAAACAACUCCAAAUUGAUGACCCUGAUCACUUUGGCAGUGCAGCUCUACCUGAUGAUGACCCAAUAGCCUGGAUUGAACUAGAUGCUCACCCGCCUGGAUCAGCACGGUCCCAGCCUCGUGACGGGUGGCCAAUGAUGUUGAGGAUCCCUGAGAAGAAAAACAUCAUGUCCUCCAGGCACUGGGGACCGAUCUACGUCAAACUGACAGACACUGGUUACCUGCAGCUGUAUUAUGAGCAGGGCCUAGAAAAACCAUUCCGUGAGUUCAAGCUAGAGAUCUGUCAUGAGAUUUCAGAACCCCGGCUUCAAAACUAUGAUGAGAAUGGCAGAAUCCACAGCUUGCGGAUAGACCGUGUCACCUAUAAAGAGAAGAAGAAAUACCAGCCCAAACCUGCUGUGGCCCACACAGCAGAGAGGGAACAGGUGAUUAAGCUGGGCACUACCAAUUACGAUGACUUCCUGAGUUUCAUCCAUGCAGUUCAGGACCGUCUCAUGGAUCUGCCAGUGUUGUCAAUGGACUUGAGCACAGUUGGCCUCAACUACCUUGAAGAGGAGAUUACAGUGGAUGUCAGAGAUGAAUUCUCUGGCAUUGUGAGCAAAGGAGGCAACCAGAUUCUCCAGCACCAUGUCUUGACACGGAUCCACAUCCUGAGUUUCCUGUCUGGGCUCGCAGAGUGCCGCCUGGGCCUCAAUGACAUCCUCGUCAAAGGGAAUGAAAUAGUUUUGAGGCAGGACAUCAUGCCCACCACCACCACAAAGUGGAUCAAGCUCCAUGAGUGCCGUUUCCACGGGUGUGUGGAUGAGGAUGUUUUCCACAACUCACGGGUCAUUCUGUUCAACCCUUUGGAUGCGUGCCGGUUUGAGCUAAUGCGGUUCAGGACAGUGUUUGCUGAGAAGACCUUGCCUUUCACACUCAGGACGGCCGCAAGUGUCAAUGGGGCAGAGGUGGAGGUGCAGAGCUGGCUGAGGAUGUCAACUGGCUUCUCCGCCAAUCGUGACCCCCUCACUCAGGUUCCCUGUGAGAAUGUGAUGAUCCGUUACCCUGUGCCCAAUGAGUGGGUGAAAAACUUCCGCAGGGAAAGUGUCCUGGGGGAAAAGUCUUUGAAAGCCAAAGUGAACCGGGGGGCAAGUUUUGGCUCCACUAGUGUUUCUGGCUCUGAGCCUGUCAUGAGAGUAACUCUGGGAACUGCCAAGUACGAGCAUGCCUUCAACUCCAUUGUGUGGAGGAUAAACCGACUGCCCGACAAAAACUCAGCUUCCGGUCACCCACACUGUUUCUUUUGCCACCUUGAACUCGGCUCUGACCGGGAAGUGCCUUCCAGAUUUGCCAAUCACGUGAAUGUCGAGUUCAGCAUGCCCACAACUUCUGCCUCCAAAGCCAGCGUGAGAUCUAUGUCUGUAGAAGACAAGACUGACGUCAGGAAGUGGGUCAAUUAUUCUGCACACUACAGCUACCAGGUAGCCUUGGGAAGCAUCUGGCUAAUGCUUCCAACUCCAUUUGUUCACCCCACUACCCUCCCCCUCUUAUUCCUUUUAGCCAUGCUUGCUAUGUUCGCCUGGUAACCUCUUACUGCCUUAGAGGAAGUUCACUAUACAUAGCUGUGGAUGUGUCUGCUCUGAUUUAAAUGCAUAAUCUGGCUAGUGGAUGAGAGAAAGGUUGGAGAAAAAUAAAGAGGCUCAUCAAAGAGAAUAUAAU
rnacentral:sRNA from 1 species